CAGUCUUGACGCGGUACACGCGCGUAGUAGAAGGGGCUCACUUUAGUGCUGAUAAGCAAACAGCCGUACGCUGUCCGAACUCGCACGAUCACCAGCAACCCGCUCGGAUGCUGCACCGAUCGACAUCAUCACGAAGGGAAGGAAAAGGAACGCUAUAGAGCGUAAGAAUAGACGCCACAAACAGAUCAAUUGAAUAAUCGUCGGUCGGAGCGAACGCGCGACUGAUUGUGUGCGUAAAAGCGCUGAAGGCUGUCGAGAAACGUCCAGAGCUACAAGAGGAAGUCGGUUGUCUUCCAACAGACACAGUUGCACUAGAGCGCUCGCCCCGUGAAGAAGGUGCUUAAGGACGGUUUCUCCAGCAAAGGACAAACUAGCCUGUGCAGAAUCGGAGACCGAGAUAGGUUUUGUGAGUGAAAGUGAAUUGUUUGUUUGCCGUGUGUGAUUAAAACAGUGCAAUAUUUUGUCUCAUCAAACGAUGGCUAAAAUUCCAUGUGCGCUGGCGAUGAUGCUGUCCGUCAUCGCCUUUGCCGGCCUGGCCGGUAUUGUGCAGGGUCAUACCUAUAAAACCGGUGACUGUCCGACGGUGGAACCGAUGAGUGGUUUCAGCAUGAAGCAGUUCCUUGGCAUCUGGUACGUUAUCCAGAAGACCGGCACCGCAUCGACCUGCGUAAUCUACAACAUUACCAAAAGCGUGGACACACCGGACGAGUACUUUAUCGAGCAGAUCUCCCAGAAGGCUCCACUGUCGAUCGCACCCAUCAAGCACGAGUACUCGUACACGGGCAAGCUUACCGUUACCGACCGGGACGUUCCGGCCCGGAUGACCGUUCGGUUUCCGCUCAGCGUGGCCGGUUCCGCAAAGUUUGUCGUUUUCAUGACCGACUACGACACGUACGCUGGCGUGUUUUCGUGCCAGAAGAUUCCGUUUGGCCAUCGGCAGAGUGCAACCCUGCUGUCCCGAACGCGCGAUUUGGAUAAAAUCUACGUCGACAAGAUUCGCUCCCGGCUGAGCUCGUAUUCGGUGGAUCCGUUCGAUCUGAGCAUCGUCAACCAGACCGGCUGUCCGAAGGAAGGUGAAGCCGGCUGGAACAUCCACAUCGAUCCGGACACUUUCUCGACGCGCAACAUUGCCAACGCGUUCCGCAAGGCGGGCGAAGCGAUCGGUGAUGGGUUCGAGGCUGCGGUGAACGCCGGCAAAAAGGUUCAUUUAUUUUGACCCCAAAAUGCGGACUAGACUGAUAGAAACGAACUGAAACGUGAGCGAAGGCGAAAUGGAAGGGGAGGAAAUAUGGCGGCAAGUCAGGAGGACUCGUUCGGUACCGAUAAUAUACAAUAAAUACCGCGAUGGAGACAACGAUGAGGUGGAAGCCAAUGUUGAAGAAACAUCCAACCGUUCCGAACGACUGAUCAGUGACGCCGAAUGGUUGCCCUAAGUGGAUGCAGCAUAACUUUUACUUCUUUGUACUAAUUAAUUUAAUUGAUAUGUCAAUAAACAACUGAAUCUCCUCACGUGA